ensembl:misc_RNA Y_RNA Y RNA
GGCUAUUCCAAGUGCACUGGUGUUUACAACUAAUUGAUCACAACCAGUUACAGAUUCCUUUGUUCCUUCCCCACUCCCACUGCUUUACUUGAUGAGCCUUAA